rnacentral:rRNA from 1 species
UACGUAGGGUGCGAGCGUUAAUCGGAAUUACUGGGCGUAAAGCGUGCGCAGGCGGUUUUGUAAGCCAGAUGUGAAAUCCCCGGGCUCAACCUGGGAAUGGCAUUUGGAACUGCAAGGCUUGAGUGCGGCAGAGGAGACUGGAAUUCCUGGUGUAGAGGUGAAAUUCGUAGAUAUUGGGAAGAACACCGGUGGCGAAGGCGGCUCUCUGGACCACAACUGACGCUGAGGCGCGAAAGCGUGGGGAGCGAACAGG